GUGGGGAAUAUUGGACAAUGGGGGGAACCCUGAUCCAGCCAUGCCGCGUGUGUGAAGAAGGCCUUUUGGUUGUAAAGCACUUUAAGCGAGGAGGAGGCUACCGAGAUUAAUACUCUUGGAUAGUGGACGUUACUCGCAGAAUAAGCACCGGCUAACUCUAUGCCAGCAGCCGCGGUAAUACAGAGGGUGCAAGCGUUAAUCGGAUUUACUGGGCGUAAAGCGCGCGUAGGUGGCCAAUUAAGUCAAAUGUGAAAUCCCCGAGCUUAACUUGGGAAUUGCAUUCGAUACUGGUUGGCUAGAGUAUGGGAGAGGAUGGUAGAAUUCCAGGUGUAGCGGUGAAAUGCGUAGAGAUCUGGAGGAAUACCGAUGGCGAAGGCAGCCAUCUGGCCUAAUACUGACACUGAGGUGCGAAAGCAUGGGGAGCAAACAGGAUUAGAUACCCUGGUAGUCC
rnacentral:rRNA from 1 species